rnacentral:rRNA from 1 species
GUGCCAGCCGCCGCGGUAAUACAGAGGUGGCAAGCGUUGUUCGGAAUUACUGGGCGUAAAGGGCGCGUAGGCGGCCUUGUAAGUCUCGUGUGAAAGCCCUCGGCUUAACUGAGGAUCUGCACGGGAUACUGCGAGGCUUGAGUUCGGGAGAGGAAAGCGGAAUUCCGGGUGUAGCGGUGAAAUGCGUAGAUAUCCGGAGGAACACCAGUGGCGAAGGCGGCUUUCUGGACCGACACUGACGCUGAGGCGCGAAAGCUAGGGGAGCAAACGGGAUUAGAUACCCUCGUAGUCC